UUGCGACCAUGUUACGGUAAAGCACCAGUCCUCACAUUUGAUCACCGAAAUUAAGCACCGUCGAGUCUGGUCACUACAGAGAUGGGUGACUGUUUGUGAAUACCAGGUGCUGUAA